UUGUGUACGAGAAGCUUCUGGUCGGCGGGGGUGGCGGUGGAUGUGGAGAUUACUCCGGCGAGGUCUGCUUCCGACGAACCACCAGGUCCAACACAACUGGGCAUGCACCAUCAACCGUGUUCUGAAAUUACCAGCACAAAUGGGGCUAGCAAGCGUCCUGCGUCCCCAAUAGUGGGGUGGGUCUUGCCAGCAAGUUGCAGCAGGGAGUUCAGUGGAGUUGUGGCAAAGUACAAAGCGCAUCACUUGGAGAUGAAGCCACUCAAGCUCCUCCUGCACUGCAUCCUUCCCAUCUAUUUUGUGCUCAUGUUUGCGAACUGCUUCAUCAGAAAAGAAACGCAUCAAUCAUUUCAAGUUACUUGUGCUGGCUCGGUUUGCAAGAGACAGAAAUAAUUUGGCAGGCAUCACUAUUAUGACAAUGAUUCAUGACACUAUCUAUGACGGCGACGCUACGCUGUUGAGUAUUUGGGUAAAAUACCACCCUGCUAAGUAAGCUGUAGCCCAAUGGGUAGGAGACACAUCUGCCUAUGGCAGAGUGUGGCUUAUGUGUCAGCUGGCAGAGAGAGAUUAGUUUGUGUUGAUGCAGUGUGGAUAAGAUGUUAAUCUCUUGAGAUGAUAUGCUAAGUUGCUAACCACUACCAGCCCCUAAUAUUUGGUGAGAUGCUUAUCUUGGUGCGUGCAGGUGCAGGACCCUCCUGAUGAUCAGAAUCGUCCAGGUAAGUAGUAUCCUAACAGCUCAAUCUGUGGCCUCAUAUAAAAGAAGGGGAAAAGGGUAGAGAUGAUAGUCAAUCAUUCCAUGGUGCACACACUCAUGCAUGCACACACUACUCGCUGCACUUUUAUCCUGCCUUUUCUUGCUCUCUAUCUAGCCAUUCUCUUUAGGAACAGUUUUUGUGCAUGCCGUGUCUCUUUAUGGCAGGCCAUGUCCAUGUAAGAUUGGGCAAAGUCCAUGCACCACUUGAGCUAGCUAGCAGAUGAAGUGGUGGCGUGGUGCUGGUGGUGGCAUGGCAGCAGCAGCACACGUAGAGGUGGGGGUAUCUAAUAAUCCCCGGAGAGGGGAGCCCGCGAAUCAUACAAAGGGAGCUUCCAUCUGCCGGUGACGACCUGAUGACGCAGUUGUGCAUCUGCAUUCCAUUCUCUGUGUGACAAAGUAAUAUGCAGGGAACAAGUCGACAGAAUCUUCAACGAUAGUACGAGUGUCUUUGCACUAUCAGUUGCACAUGUUUCAUCUUCGUAUUCUUGCAUUAGGACUUAUAAGAGCAGUUGGUUAGGAGCAGAGUAAUCGUGCCUGAAUUAAAAAGACCCAUGGUUUCUUCUAGAUAGAUAGACAGGUCAAAGACUGUUGUGUGCCUGAAUUAAAGCUACCAACUAUAUCCCCAGAUCAGAUAACAUGAUGAUAAUAACCUAAAUUUGCAUGGAAAAAUGCUACUCUUUGCAUGGGUGCACAUAUGAAUUAAAAAAAAGACGUUUUUCAACUUCUGAAAAAUUGUGAAAAAGUGCAUACGUGCAGAGUAUGGAUAGAAACUUGUCUUUGCAUUUUUUUUGUAAAAACAAAGACCAC